GUUCUACAGCGUGGAGCCGAGGGAGAUUCCACGGCAGAGAGAGAGGGUUAUGGCAAGGCAUUGGCUAGUCGCCGAUUUGUUCGGUUGGCAUUAUUAUGACCAUGGGUAAGCGCAGUAUUCCUGUUCGACCUUGUAAAAGAAUAUGGAAUUCUCUAAUCUGUUGAUACUUGAUGGGAUCGAUUAGUGCGAUGGAGUCAUUUUUUGGAAUGUUACGGAGUUGUUGUUUUUUUCGUGUUAGUUUUUAUUUAGUUCAAUGGAUGGUAUAUUGCCAUUAUUGUUUUGGCGGAGAUGAGACAAGUUCAUCGAGAGCAUCGUCAAAGAGAUCUCAACUGUAGUUAGACGAGUACCCUCGAGUGUUGCCAAGCAUCCUGUCGGUGUAGGUUGCUGGGUAGAGAAAGUAAGAUCGUAGUUAAGUAUGGGCUUGGAUGAGGUACGGUUGAUAGGAAUAUGGGGAGUGGGAGGUAUAGGGAAGAGCACUAUCGCUAAAGCUGUCUAUAAGAGUAUCACUAGUCAAACAGUAUAAUUGGUCAGUUUGGUGGGUGUAGCUUUCUUGCAAAUGUUAUAGAAACUUCCAGUAAACCUGAUGGUCUGGUUCAUUUGCAAAGAGCACUCUUCUCCGAGAUACUGUGGAAAGAAAAUUUAGUGGUCUUCAGUAUGGAUAGGGGCAUUAACCUAAUAGGAAAUAGACUUUGCUGUAGGAAGAUUCUGCUUGUGCUUAAUGAUGUGGAUCAUGGGGACUAGUUGAAUGCGUUAGCUAGAGAAUGUGAAUAGUUUGGAAAAGGGAGCACGAUCAUUAUUAUAACAAGAGAUAAACAUGUACUGACUUCCCACGGGAUAGAUUAGGUAUAUGAAGUUAAAUCAUUAGAUCAAGGUGAAGCUUUUGAACUUUUGAGUUCAUAUGCUUUUCCAAGAAACCAAAGGGAAGACAUACAUUGUGAUAUCAUACAUAUUAUUUUGGGCUAGGCUAAUGGCCAUCUCUUAACGGUUCUGGUCUCGGGUCCCCUUUUAUGUGGUAGAAGCAUAGGAGAAUGGGAGAGUACACUGGGUAAACUUGCCGAAAGUCCCUAAUAAAGAUAUAAACAGCGUUCUGAAGAUAAGUUUUGAUACAUUGGCGGACAAUGAAAAUGACAUUUUUCUUGACAUUGCUUGCUUAUUUAAAGGAAGGGAUAGUGAUUAUGUAACCAAAGUUCUUGAUAGUUGUGGUUUAAAGACAUUAAUUGGGAUUAAAACUUUAAUAGAGAGAUCUUUAAUAAACGUUGAGAAUCAGAGAACAGUACAAAUGCAUGACUUGAUUUGGCUGCUGGAUCAGAAUAUCAUGAAACAUGAUUAUCCAGAUGACCUAGGAAAUGGAGUAGAUGAUGGUGCUACAAUGAUGUUUUGGAAGUAUUUUUGGAGGAUAUUGUGAGAGCUUCUCAUGACAUCAUUGAUAACCUUAUCUUCUUUACUUUACACACUAUUGUAAUUCGGGCUGGGUAAUAAUGAUUAUUUUGUUUUCCUUGAUAGGGAACCAAUGUUGUUAGAGGCAUAAUGCUGGACUUACCAACACAAGAAGAGCUAGACAUCAAUCCUAGUGCUUUCACAUAUAUGAGGAGACCGAGAUUGCUCCUAGUCCUGAAUGCACAGCUCAGCAGAGGUCCCAAAUGUCUUCUAAAAGAUUUAAGGUGGCUUGAAUG
rnacentral:lncRNA from 1 species